GCAGGUGAACAGGGCUGCUGUCCCUGGUUUGUAGCCAAUUGAAUCUCUAACCCUGAGCCUCCAGCCGGGGAAGAUGAGAGGAAGGAAUACGAGAGGAUGUGUUGAUGACAUCAGGUCAGCCUAACCCCCACUUCAUGACCAUGUCCUGAAGAAAAAAUGAUGUCAUUGGUGGCUCCUUUGUGAAGGAAAGACAAGAUCCAGUCAACCAGACUCACCUUUCAGGAUGGAAGAUAAUCCUUGUGCCUAUCAAAAAGGAAGUUCUGUACUAUUUUCCACUGAAUUUUGCAACUUUAGAAGAAGCUCUCUAAAGGCCUAAUAUUGCCAUGUCUAAUCCUGCAUGAAGUUAGAGCUUUUUUGUCAAAACAACAUUUCUGUAAUGUCCAAGUAUAAGAUGACUGAAUUAUAACCAGGAUCAUAUAAGACAUCGUUCUUUACAGAACUGAAAAUCCUUAGCCCUGUUAAUGAGAAACAUUGGCAUCUUGCAUGUGGUUUUUUGUGUGUGUGUGUUUUGUUUUGCUUUCUAUCCCUAUAAAACUGCUUUAGAAACCCUUCUGAAUUGGCCUUUUUAUCAGAGGCCUCCCAUAAAACUAAUUUUGAACAUAUCUUGUAUUCUGUGAGAAAAUACUUGAUAUUGUCUGAACUUGUUCUGGCUGUACCUGUCCAUAUAAAGACUAUAAUCCAGUUCUUGAAAACUGUGUGGUUCCUGGUGAAUCAGCUGAAGUGGACAGUUGUUGGUGUCAUUAUGCCACCACUCUCCUGCAGAUGGAGGGUGUGGUGUGCUGGGUC